rnacentral:rRNA from 1 species
CUAAGCUGAGGCCGACAGGCGUAGGCGAUGGAUAACAGGUUGAUAUUCCUGUACCACCUAUAAUCGUUUUAAUCGAUGGGGGGACGCAGUAGGAUAGGCGAAGCGUGCGAUUGGAUUGCACGUCUAAGCAGUAAGGCUGAGUAUUAGGCAAAUCCGGUACUCGUUAAGGCUGAGCUGUGAUNGGGAGAAGACAUUGAGUCUUCGAGUCGUUGAUUUCACACUGCCGAGAAAAGCCUCUAGAUAGAAAAUAGGUGCCCGUACCGCAAACCGACACAGGUAGUCAAGAUGAGAAUUCUAAGGUGAGCGAGCGAACUCUCGUUAAGGAACUCGGCAAAAUGACCCCGUAACUUCGGGAGAAGGGGUGCUCUUUAGGGUUAACGCCCAGAAG